rnacentral:rRNA from 1 species
GGUCAAGUGAAGAAGCGCAUACGGUGGAUGCCUUGGCAGUCAGAGGCGAUGAAAGACGUGGUAGCCUGCGAAAAGCUUCGGGGAGUCGGCAAACAGACUUUGAUCCGGAGAUGUCUGAAUGGGGGAACCCAGCCAUCAUAAGAUGGUUAUCUUACGCUGAAUACAUAGGCGUAAGAGGCGAACCAGGGGAACUGAAACAUCUAAGUACCCUGAGGAAAAGAAAUCAACCGAGAUUCCCUUAGUAGUGGCGAGCGAACGGGGACUAGCCCUUAAGUGGCUUUGAGAUUAGCGGAACGUUCUGGAAAGUACGGCCAUAGUGGGUGAUAGCCCUGUACGCGAAAAUCUCUUAGUCAUGAAAUCGAGUAGGACGGAGCACGAGAAACUUUGUCUGAAUAUGGGGGACCAUCCUCCAAGGCUAAAUACUACUGACUGACCGAUAGUGAACUAGUACCGUGAGGGAAAGGCGAAAAGAACCCCGGAGAGGGGAGUGAAAUAGAUCCUGAAACCGUAUGCGUACAAGCAGUGGGAGCCCACUUUGUUGGGUGACUGCGUACCUUUUGUAUAAUGGGUCAGCGACUUAUUUUCAGUGGCGAGCUUAACCGAAUAGGGGAGGCGUAGCGAAAGCGAGUCUUAAUAGGGCGUCUAGUCGCUGGGAAUAGACCCGAAACCGGGCGAUCUAUCCAUGGGCAGGUUGAAGGUUGGGUAACACUAACUGGAGGACCGAACCGACUACCGUUGAAAAGUUAGCGGAUGACCUGUGGAUCGGAGUGAAAGGCUAAUCAAGCUCGGAGAUAGCUGGUUCUCCUCGAAAGCUAUUUAGGUAGCGCCUCAUGUAUCACUGUAGGGGGUAGAGCACUGUUUCGGCUAGGGGGUCAUCCCGACUUACCAAACCGAUGCAAACUCCGAAUACCUACAAGUGCCGAGCAUGGGAGACACACGGCGGGUGCUAACGUCCGUCGUGAAAAGGGAAACAACCCAGACCGUCAGCUAAGGUCCCAAAGUUAUGGUUAAGUGGGAAACGAUGUGGGAAGGCUUAGACAGCUAGGAGGUUGGCUUAGAAGCAGCCACCCUUUAAAGAAAGCGUAAUAGCUCACUAGUCGAGUCGGCCUGCGCGGAAGAUGUAACGGGGCUCAAACCAUACACCGAAGCUACGGGUAUCACGUAAGUGAUGCGGUAGAGGAGCGUUCUGUAAGCCUGUGAAGGUGAGUUGAGAAGCUUGCUGGAGGUAUCAGAAGUGCGAAUGCUGACAUGAGUAACGACAAUGGGUGUGAAAAACACCCACGCCGAAAGACCAAGGUUUCCUGCGCAACGUUAAUCGACGCAGGGUUAGUCGGUCCCUAAGGCGAGGCUGAAAAGCGUAGUCGAUGGAAAACAGGUUAAUAUUCCUGUACUUCUGGUUAUUGCGAUGGAGGGACGGAGAAGGCUAGGCCAGCUUGGCGUUGGUUGUCCAAGUUUAAGGUGGUAGGCUGGAAUCUUAGGUAAAUCCGGGAUUCUAAGGCCGAGAGCUGAUGACGAGCUAACUUUUAGUUAGCGAAGUGGUUGAUGCCAUGCUUCCAAGAAAAGCUUCUAAGCUUCAGGUAACCAGGAACCGUACCCCAAACCGACACAGGUGGUUGGGUAGAGAAUACCAAGGCGCUUGAGAGAACUCGGGUGAAGGAACUAGGCAAAAUGGCACCGUAACUUCGGGAGAAGGUGCGCCGGUGAGGGUGAAGGACUUGCUCCGUAAGCUCAUGCCGGUCGAAGAUACCAGGCCGCUGCGACUGUUUAUUAAAAACACAGCACUCUGCAAACACGAAAGUGGACGUAUAGGGUGUGACGCCUGCCCGGUGCCGGAAGGUUAAUUGAUGGGGUUAGCUAACGCGAAGCUCUUGAUCGAAGCCCCGGUAAACGGCGGCCGUAACUAUAACGGUCCUAAGGUAGCGAAAUUCCUUGUCGGGUAAGUUCCGACCUGCACGAAUGGCGUAACGAUGGCGGCGCUGUCUCCACCCGAGACUCAGUGAAAUUGAAAUCGCUGUGAAGAUGCAGUGUAUCCGCGGCUAGACGGAAAGACCCCGUGAACCUUUACUAUAGCUUUGCACUGGACUUUGAAUUUGCUUGUGUAGGAUAGGUGGGAGGCUUUGAAGCGUGGACGCCAGUCUGCGUGGAGCCAACCUUGAAAUACCACCCUGGCAACUUUGAGGUUCUAACUCAGGUCCGUUAUCCGGAUCGAGGACAGUGUAUGGUGGGUAGUUUGACUGGGGCGGUCUCCUCCUAAAGAGUAACGGAGGAGUACGAAGGUGCGCUCAGACCGGUCGGAAAUCGGUCGUAGAGUAUAAAGGCAAAAGCGCGCUUGACUGCGAGACAGACACGUCGAGCAGGUACGAAAGUAGGUCUUAGUGAUCCGGUGGUUCUGUAUGGAAGGGCCAUCGCUCAACGGAUAAAAGGUACUCCGGGGAUAACAGGCUGAUACCGCCCAAGAGUUCAUAUCGACGGCGGUGUUUGGCACCUCGAUGUCGGCUCAUCACAUCCUGGGGCUGAAGCCGGUCCCAAGGGUAUGGCUGUUCGCCAUUUAAAGUGGUACGCGAGCUGGGUUUAGAACGUCGUGAGACAGUUCGGUCCCUAUCUGCCGUGGACGUUUGAGAUUUGAGAGGGGCUGCUCCUAGUACGAGAGGACCGGAGUGGACGAACCUCUGGUGUUCCGGUUGUCACGCCAGUGGCAUUGCCGGGUAGCUAUGUUCGGAAUAGAUAACCGCUGAAAGCAUCUAAGCGGGAAACUAGCCUCAAGAUGAGAUCUCACUGGGACCUUGAGUCCCCUGAAGGGCCGUCGAAGACUACGACGUUGAUAGGUUGGGUGUGUAAGCGCUGUGAGGCGUUGAGCUAACCAAUACUAAUUGCCCGUGAGGCUUGACCAU